AGUGCUGUAGCUCAGUGGUAAAGCGCUUGCCUAGAAUGUAUGAGGCGGCACUGAGUUCCAUCCUCAGCACCACAU
rnacentral:tRNA from 1 species